UAACGCGAAGAACCUUACCUGGUCUUGACAUCCACAGAACCUUGUAGAGAUACGAGGGUGCCUUCGGGAACUGUGAGACAGGUGCUGCAUGGCUGUCGUCAGCUCGUGUUGUGAAAUGUUGGGUUAAGUCCCGCAACGAGCGCAACCCUUAUCCUUUGUUGCCAGCGGUCCGGCCGGGAACUCAAAGGAUACUGCCAGUGAUAAACUGGAGGAAGGUGGGGAUGACGUCAAGUCAUCAUGGCCCUUACGACCAGGGCUACACACGUGCUACAAUGGCGCAUACAAAGAGAAGCGACUUCGCGAGAGCAAGCGGACCUCAUAAAGUGCGUCGUAGUCCGGAUUGGAGUCUGCAACUCGACUCCAUGAAGUCGGAAUCGCUAGUAAUCGUGGAUCAGAAUGCCACGGUGAAUACGUUCCCGGGUCUUGUACACACCGA
rnacentral:misc_RNA from 1 species